rnacentral:misc_RNA from 1 species
AAGUCGUAACAAGGUUUCCGUAGGUGAACCUGCGGAAGGAUCAUUACAAAUCCACACGUCUCUCACGAGACCACGUUGAACUGUUGUUGGUGCUGUUAGUGUUGUUGUUUGGUGAGGACACGGACGACGAUGAUGACGCUCCGUCGUCCUCGUCGUCGUCGUCGUCUCAGACCGACCUGACACACCGCCCCCUUUGUUCUCUAGUAGUGAUGUUGCACAUAAGUAUAUCAUUCCUCUUGUGAAUAACAACGAGAAACAACUUAUAACAAUGGAUCUCUAGGCUCUU